rnacentral:rRNA from 1 species
AUUGAACGCUGGCGGCAGGCCUAACACAUGCAAGUCGAGCGGGGUUUUCGGACCUAGCGGCGGACGGGUGAGUAAUGCGUAGGAAGCUGCCUGAUAGAGGGGGAUACCAGUUGGAAACGACUGUUAAUACCGCAUAAUGUCUACGGACCAAAGUGUGGGACCUUCGGGCCACAUGCUAUCGGAUGCGCCUACGUGGGAUUAGCUAGUUGGUGAGGUAAUGGCUCACCAAGGCGACGAUCUCUAGCUGGUUUGGGAGGAUGAUCAGCCACACUGGAACUGAGACACGGUCCAGACUCCUACGGGAGGCAGCAGUGGGGAAUAUUGGACAAUGGGCGCAAGCCUGAUCCAGCCAUGCCGCGUGUGUGAAGAAGGCCUUCGGGUUGUAAAGCACUUUCAGUGGGGAGGAAGCGUUGUGUGUUAAUAGUACACAGCGUUGACGUUACCUACAGAAGAAGCACCGGCUAACUCUGUGCCAGCCGCCGCCGUAAAAC